rnacentral:tRNA from 1 species
GCCUUCGUAGUGUAAUGGCUAGGGCACUCGGCGCGUAUUCGAGAAAUCCGAGGUUCGAGUCCCGGCGAGGGCA